AGAGUUUGAUUCUGGCUCAGAGCGAACGUUUGCGGCGGGCUUAACACAUGCAAGUCGAACGGGCUGUUCCUUCGGGGGCAGUCAGUGGCGCACGGGUGCGUAACACGUAGGUAAUCAACCUUUUGGUUGGGGAUAACACUUCGAAAGGGGUGCUAGUACCCGGUAAGGCGUCGUGCUCUUCGGAGUGCGGCGAGAAAGACCCGCAAGGGUUGCCAGAAGACGAGCCUGCGGCCCAUCAGCUAGUUGGCGAGGUAACGGCUCACCAAGGCGAAGACGGGUAGCUGGUCUGAGAGGAUGAUCAGUCACACUGGAACUGAGACACGGUCCAGACUCCUACGGGAGGCAGCAGUGGGGAAUAUUGCGCAAUGGGCGAAAGCCUGACGCAGCCACGCCGCGUGAGCGAUGAAGGCCUUCGGGUCGUAAAGCUCUGUGGGGAGAGAAGAAUAAAGUCGGUGAAGAGCCGGCCUUGACGGUAUCUCCUUAGCAAGCACCGGCUAACUCCGUGCCAGCCGCCGCGGUAA
rnacentral:rRNA from 1 species